rnacentral:misc_RNA from 1 species
UUUCCGUAGGUGAACCCGCGGAAGGAUCAUUCAUAAUAAAGUGUUUUACGGCACUUUUUAAAAAUCCAUAUCCACCUUGUGUGCAAUGUUAGAUCUCGUCAAUCUUGGCGAGAUUUUUAUACAUCAACUCAUUCUUUAACUAAUUUGUCUGAAAAAUAUUAUGAAUACUUAAUUCAAAAUACAACUUUCAACAACGGAUCUCUUGGCUCUC